rnacentral:sRNA from 1 species
GCUGGGUGUAGUGGCACAUGCCUGUAAUCCCUGUGACUUGGGAGGCUGAGACAGGAGGAUCACAAAUUCAAAGCCAGCCAGAGCGAUGGUGAGGUGCUAAACAACUCAGUGAGACCCUGUCUCUA